CCAAAUAUCCAGGAGGUGGAUGAGAUGGAAAAAGAAAACGGACUUCCACUGCCUGAGGGAUGCCUAUCAGCACAGCACAAGAGAAGAUUGUUCACUACAUAGGAAGCUCAAAUAAUCAUCAGCAGGUGCAGAGAAUUGAUUGAUGAUGACAACAAACCAAUAAAAAACAAAACUUGCCUAGAGUUGUUGGGGAAGGGAGAAGAAGGAAAGAAGAUCAUCUCGAGGGUUAAAGAUCUGCAUCCUACGGAUUAUCAGAAGAGCAUUGCAGAUAGGGUGAGAGCACAAAGAAGGUUGUCU